rnacentral:rRNA from 1 species
AGUGAACGCUGGCGGUAGGCCUAACACAUGCAAGUCGAACGGCAGCACAGUAAGAGCUUGCUCUUACGGGUGGCGAGUGGCGGACGGGUGAGGAAUACAUCGGAAUCUACUUUUUCGUGGGGGAUAACGUAGGGAAUCUUACGCUAAUACCGCAUACGACCUACGGGUGAAAGCAGGGGAUCUUCGGACCUUGCGUGAUUGAAUGAGCCGAUGUCGGAUUAGCUAGUUGGCGGGGUAAAGGCCCACCAAGGCGACGAUCCGUAGCUGGUCUGAGAGGAUGAUCAGCCACACUGGAACUUAGACACGGUCCAGACUCCUACGGGAGGCAGCAGUGGGGAAUAUUGGACAAAGGGCGCAAGCCUGAUCCAGCCAUACCGCGUGUGUGAAGAAGGCCUUCGGGUUGUAAAGCCCUUUUGUUGGGAAAGAAAAGCAGCAGGUUAAUACCCCGCUGUUCUGACGGUACCCAAAGAAUAAGCACCGGCUAACUUCGUG